UUUCGAAUCAUUCACAAUGGGCGAAAGCCUGAUGGUGCGACGCCGCGUGGGGGAUGAAGGUCUUCGGAUUGUAAACCCCUGUCACCGGGGAAGAAACGCUUCAAUUUAAUAGAUUGAAGCCUGACUUAACCCGGAGAGGAAGCAGUGGCUAACUCUGUGCCAGCAGCCGCGGUAAUACAGAGACUGCAAGCGUUAUUCGGAUUCACUGGGCGUAAAGGGUGCGCAGGCGGCCAAGUGUGUUAGAUGUGAAAUCCCGGGGCUCAACCCCGGAACUGCGUCUAAAACUACUUGGCUAGAGCAUUGGAGAGGGUAGCGGAAUUCACGGUGUAGCAGUGAAAUGCGUAGAUAUCGUGAGGAACACCAGAGGCGAAGGCGGCUACCUGGACAAUUGCUGACGCUCAGGCACGAAAGCGUGGGGAGCAAAAGGGAUUAGAUACCCCCGUAGUCC
rnacentral:rRNA from 1 species